UGCAGUUAAAAAGCUCGUAGUUGGAUUUCUGCGCGGGCGGGGCGUCCACCGUCCUGAGUGGCGGGUUGGGCAGCGACGCCCGCGCAUCCUGCCGCGAACCACGCUACCAUUCAUUUGGUGGCGUCUUGGGGAUCGGCUCGUUUACUUUGAGAAAAAUAGAGUGUUCAAAGCAGGCAACUCGCCUUGAAUAAUGUAGCAUGGAAUAAUGAUAAAGGACUUUGGUUCUAUUUUGUUGGUGUUCGGGACCGAAGUAAUGAUUGAUAGGGACAGUUGGGGGCGUCUGUAUUCUGAAGCGAGAGGUGAAAUUCUUAGACCUUCGGAAGACAAACAGCUGCGAAAGCGUUCGCCAAGGAUGUUCCCUUUGAUCAAGAACGAAAGUUGGGGGAUCGAAGACGAUCAGAUACCGUCGUAGUCUCAACUAUAAACUAUACCAGCUAGGGAUCGGCCAACGUUGAUUACCAAAGACUUGGUCGGCACCUUAUGAGAAAUCAAAGCAUCUGGGUUCCGGGGGGAGUAUGGUCGCAAGGCUGAAACUUAAAGGAAUUGACGGAAGGGCACCACCAGGCGUGGAGCCUGUGGCUUAAUUUGACUCAACACGGGGAAACUUACCAGGUCCAGACAUAGGAAGGAUUGACAGAUUGACAGCUCUUUCUUGAUCUAUGGGUGGUGGUG
rnacentral:rRNA from 1 species